rnacentral:rRNA from 1 species
UACGUAGGGUGCAAGCGUUGUCCGGAAUUAUUGGGCGUAAAGAGCUUGUAGGUGGCUUGUCGCGUUGUUCGUGAAAACUCACAGCUCAACUGUGGGCGUGCGGGCGAUACGGGCAGACUAGAGUACUGCAGGGGAGACUGGAAUUCCUGGUGUAGCGGUGGAAUGCGCAGAUAUCGGGAGGAACACCGGUGGCGAAGGCGGCGACCUGGGUCGAGACUGACGCUGAGGCGCGAAAGCGUGGGGAGCAAACAGG